GAAAAUCAAUUAGAAAUUGAGGAAAUAGUCUUACUUCUUAUAAGCUAUUACUCAAUUUCUCAAUUUUCCAAUAUCAACUUUUUACGUUCACAUUCACACAUCUAAUAACCCCAAAAAUUUCCUCACCACCUAAACACAGUCCAUUCGAAAUUAGAAAGGAACAGAACCCCGCAAACCCUUAAUUCCCAAAUUAGUUUCACACUUCCGCUCAAAACUCAAACCCUAAGCCCCAACCCCCACCACCACUCCUCCUGCCGCCGCAGCAGCCCUUGUGUUGCCGGCGCUGCCCAUAAUUUAAAAUACUUUGGUCCCUGUGUUGAUGUGGUUCAUUUUUUACAAUGGCUCACGAUAUGUAACAGAGUUUUGCAAGAGGUAACAUUCUAACCUUUGUUUUCUUGUUGGAUAUCAUGAGUUGUAGCAUCUUAUCAUUAUGUUAUAGUGGAACUUUGUAAUAUGUACUUUGCUACUAUGUAGUCGGAUGUACCGGUAUUUGGCUGCCAAUUGAAUGAGUUUUACAACUCUUAGUUCAGCAGCAUCCCUUCCGUUGGGAAAAUAGAUCAGUUGUGGCAUUAAUGUUCUUAAGUAUAGUUCAGAUGUUGAUUUAUGUUUGCGUACCGCCUCUCCAAUCCACUUACCUAUUUCGUCAUAACUGAAAUGCCUUCUUCAUUGCACCCACUGUACCCUCGUUCAUAAUGUGUGGUUUCCUAAGUGCUUGAAGAAGUUGCUUAGCUGUGUUUCAUAAUGUGAGCUUUCAUGUGUUACAAAUUGAAAGCACCAUAACCACAACAUACAAACAUUUUGAAGGGUUUACAUUAGCUGUCUAUUAACAGUGGUGAUCAUGACAUGGAUAUUCCAUAUGUGGGUACUAUGUCUUGGAUAGAAUCUAUGAACUUGACUGUUUCAUUGGAAGCCAUGGUUCGUCGACAGACAGAUUGCAGGGUUGAUAUCUAUCUCAUCUUCUUUCUUUCUAUUUUUUUCAUGUCCUUAAUCUUUCUUCUGUUUAAGUUGAGUUUGGUCACAAAAUCAGAUUGCAACUAUCUCAUAGUUAUGCCUUUUUCCCCCCUUUAGAUGUAGAGUGCGGUAAUUCAAAGUACUGAUAGAUGUUAAGAUGUUCUUUGUCCAUAUAAAGGUCAUUAUUUGAUGUUGGAUUGGUAAAGCCUAUCUUCUGUGUAUGUUUGUGUGAGAAGUUCUGAAAAUACCACUCGAAAUAAAUAUGAAGUUAUUAGGUUUGUUAACAA